GGCGUACAUGUUAAAGCCUCAAUACCUCCUGAAGAUCAAGUACCAUAUAUUGGCAGGAAAGGAAUACCGACUCAAAACAUAAUGGCUGCAUGUAAUUUUGACAUGCAAUUCAUAUUUGCAUGUGCAGGUUGGGAAGGCACUGCACACGAUACAAGAGUAUUUUUAUCAGCGUUACGAAAUAAUGCUUUAAAUUUUCCCAAACCUCCAAAUGGAAAAUAUUAUCUUGUGGAUGCGGGUUACCCACAAAUGAGCGGGUAUUUGGGACCAUAUAAAGGUGAAAGGUAUCAUCUUCCAGAUUUCCGUAGGGGUACUCAACCAACAGGUUCUAGAGAAGUAUUUAAUCACGUACACUCUUCCCUUAGGAGUGUCAUUGAACGCACUUUUGGUGUAUGGAA